GUGUUACUUUGGAACACUGUACUUAAUCUGGAAUGAUUCUGAGAAGAUUAGCAUGGUUCCUGUGCAUGAUUGGCAUGCAAAUUCAUGCAGAAUACCAUAUUUUU
ensembl:snRNA U6 U6 spliceosomal RNA